CAUACUGGCCCAACACUCUAACCACUAGGCUAGUGCACUACUUUAGCAUACUGGCCCAACACUCUAACCACUAGGCUAGUGCACUACUUUAGCAUACUGGCCCAACACUCUAACCACUAGGCUAGUGCACUACUUUAGCAUACUGGCCCAACACUCUAACCACUAGGCUAGUGCACUGCUUUAGCAUACUGGCCACACACUCUAACCACUAGGCUAGUGCAAUGCUUUAGCAUACUGGCCCAACACUCUAACCACUAGGCUAGUGCAAUGCUUUAGCAUACUGGCCCAACACUCUAACCACUAGGCUAGUGCACUGCUUUAGCAUACUGGCCCAACACUCUAACCACUAGGCUAGUGCACUACUUUAGCAUACUGGCCCAACACUCUAACCACUAGGCUAGUGCACUACUUUAGCAUACUGGCCCAACACUCUAACCACUAGGCUAGUGCACUACUUUAGCAUACUGGCCCAACACUCUAACCACUAGGCUAGUGCACUGCUUUAGCAUACUGGCCACACACUCUAACCACUAGGCUAGUGCAAUGCUUUAGCAUACUGGCCCAACUCUCUAACCACUAGGCUAGUGCACUACUUUAGCAUACUGGCCCAACACUCUAACCACUAGGCUAGUGCACUACUUUAGCAUACGUUCCCUGGUCAACAGUAGUGCACUAUAGAGGGAAUGGUGCCCUUGUGUACCCAUAGAGUUCUGGACUAAAAGUAGUGCACUAUAGAGGGAAUGGUGCCCUUGGUUACCCAUGGAGUUCUGGUCAACAGUAGUGCACUAUAGAGGGAAUAGUGCCCUUGGUUACCCAUAGAGUUCUGGUCAACAGUAGUGUACUGUAGAGGGAAUGGUGCCCUUGGGUACCCAUAGAGUUCUGAUCAACAGUAGUGUACUAUAGAGGGAAUGGUGCCCUUGGGUACCCAUAGGGUUCGGAUUAAAAGUAGUGCACUAUAUUUAGGUUAGGGUGCUAUUAAACCAGAACCCUGUCUAUAGUUUAUGCUGUUUGUAUUCCUUCUCCCUCCUCUAAUAAAGUUGUACUGGUUUUGAAAACCUGUGUCCCGA
ensembl:lncRNA